ensembl:lncRNA
CAACCCAUAAAGGAGAUGCGAUGGCUACAGCAGUGAUUCGAUUCCCUUCAAUGUCAGACGUGUGAGGAAAAAUAAACAUGCAAGCUGCUGUUCUCCCGAUUUCCAGCAAUUUUCUGCUGUGGCAAUACCGCAUGGUGGCUGAUGGAGGUAGCCCUUCAAAAACCAUCUACGUGAAACCAGAACUAUCUCCAGCCUGGAAGAAGCCUUGCCUGAGAUUCUGCAGGCAAAUUCCACAAGCAAGAGUUAGGAGGCAACCAUGCAGCCUUCUUGCGUUGCUUUUUCUCUAUACUCCCAGCUUACACAAUGAAUGCA